UACGUAGGUGACAAGCGUUGUUCGGAAUUACUGGGCGUAAAGGGCGCGUAGGCGCCUGCUAAGUCGAACGUGAAAUCCCCGGGCUCAACCCGGGAACUGCGUCCGAUACUGGCAGGCUUGAAUCCGGGAGAGGGAUGCGGAAUUCCAGGUGUAGCGGUGAAAUGCGUAGAUAUCGUAAGGAAGACCAGUGGCGAAGGCGGGUCUGCUGGACAGUUCCUGACGCUGAGGCAGCGAGGCCAGGGGAGCAAACGGG
rnacentral:rRNA from 1 species